rnacentral:rRNA from 1 species
UUAUGGCUCAGGAUGAACGCUAGCGAUAGGCCUAACACAUGCAAGUCGAGGGGCAGCAUAGAGUAGCAAUACUUGAUGGCGACCGGCGCACGGGUGAGUAACACGUAUGCAACCUACCUACAUCAGGGGAAUAACCCGGAGAAAUUCGGACUAAUACCGCAUAAUACAGGGAUGCCGCAUGGCAAUAUUUGUUAAAGAUUUAUCGGAUGUAGAUGGGCAUGCGUUCCAUUAGCUAGUUGGUAAGGUAACGGCUUACCAAGGCAACGAUGGAUAGGGGAACUGAGAGGUUUGUCCCCCACACUGGAACUGAGACACGGACCAGACUCCUACGGGAGGCAGCAGUGAGGAAUAUUGGUCAAUGGACGAGAGUCUGAACCAGCCAAAUCGCGUGAAAAGGAAGACUGCCCUACGGGUUGUAAACUUCUUUUGUACAGGAAUAAAAGACAUUACGUGUAAUGUAUUGCAUGUACUGUACGAAUAAGCAUCGGCUAACUCCGUGCCAGCCGCCGC